UCUGGGGAUCUAACUUCAUCACAUCUCUAUAAAAAGAAACCUACUUCUCAAACUUAAGUUUCAGAUUAGACUUUAUGCUUUUUCACAUCAAUUUGAUCUGCUCGUAGCUAACUUGGAAUAUCAAUAUGGCAUCAGAUUUUGCGUGUCAACUAAUACUGUUGGUAAAAUUAUUUUCAUGAUCCAUCUUUAAUAUCUUUUUU
rnacentral:lncRNA from 1 species